CACAGAGGUACAGCGACUCAACCCAAGUCACACAGUGAGAGACGGACGCAGGCUGGGACCCAGCCAUCAUUCCAUCUUACCUUCUGGUGCAUUUCCAAGAGAGCUGCAGUGGCUCCAGGCCAAAUCUCCAAAUGAAAUCAGGCCGGGGAGAAAUGAACAACUGAGAUGCACAAAACAAUGUGAAGAAGAAACGAAUAAUAAU